GCUGUGUAUAUAAGGCCGCAAUUACUUUGUUGUUAACAGAGAUCAGCAACCUUCAGAAAUAGAGACAAGAGCUGUACACAGCAGCAAAGAUCAUGGUGCAGAUUGUCUCUGCCUUAUUUCUAUGCUUGUCCUCUGGAGCGACACUCUCACAGUGACCGGCUUUUCUCGAACUGAACUACACACAGUAACUAGUUACAUCACUAGGAGAAUUACUGGAUAUACCGAUAGACAACAUGCCUACGUGGUGAAGUUUCCUCAUCACCAAUGCAGAAGAUUGCAUAUCCCCGGAGCUGUAGACAGAGCACUGAGAAACGAAAGGCCAAAUCGGAGGGAUAUAUUUUCAAACCAAAGGAUUUAUGAGGGAUAAUAGCCACAUACAAAGAUCUAAACCCAGGCAGAGAACAUUCUGAGCAUCGUCUGCUUUAUCCUAUUGGUUCUUCUCCAGUAGACAAUCUACUGAACAGAAAUCCUAGAGCUGGGUGUGUUUUGUU